CUGCAGAUAGAGCAGGAACAGAACCAUUCAAGCUAAUUUGAAACUCUCAUAAGUGAUUCCCUUCCAAAGCCCCAGCUCCAGCUUAGAAACCAAUGGACCUGUCUCUAAAAGAGGCAAGAGUCUGCUUGUGCAGAGGUGUGGUGGGUAAUGGGUUAAAUCCAAGUAUGGCCCAAAGCACAGCUCAUUCUGUGUCAAAGGACCCCUCCCCAGGAGCUGCUCUGACGGUGUAACAAGCUGUGAAAAGACUCCUCCAGAAGCAUGGGAGCGUCUCUGGCACCAGGCUAAACGGACGAGCGGCCCUGUUGCUCGGAGGAGUUUUAAUGGCUGAGUUGAUCCUUGGAUAGAAGGAGCUUUGCCCGUGGAGAGGAGUUAGUGCCUUGGCCGGGCUGGUAGAAGGUGCUGUUCAGGACACUUCGGUUCACCUCAGGCAGAGCUGCCUGUGGAACUGGUUUGGUGGGAGUGUUGUGGAGGUUGUAUCUGAGGGCGAUCAAGGUCGUAUCUGAGGGCGAUCAAGGUCGUAUCUGAGGGUGAUCCAGGUCUUACCUGGGGUGUGUGGUUAAUCUCAGUUAAUACACUGACUGCUCCGAGGAGGGAAAACAAACCACCCUGUUUUUCUCCCCCACCCCUCCCAGCUUAUCCAUAACACAGUGGUGGAUACUGCAGUUGUCUUUCCCCACCGGCUGGGUUUGCCUUACAAACGAGCACUCCGGAUGCUGAUGGCCGACUACCUCAAGCGCAUCAUCCAGGACAACGUGGAAGGUCAUGACUCCAGCGAGGACGCCAGCGCUUGCAUGGAGCUGAUGAUCUGGAAAAUCAAAGAAGAUGCUAAAGUGAAACGAUGACUUGUGCUCGUUCGCUCUCCUGUUCCUCCUCUGCCUCUUUGAAGCAGUGCAAUAAAUACUCAGCGUAACACUGCUCACCUGUACCCAGCAGCAUGCCGUCUUCCAGAUCCCCUAUGCACUUGCUGGUAUCUAUGGAACGUAGAGACUGCUGCUGGCACAGCUACAGGGUACAGGCUCUCAGCUGGCAAUGGUCAUAUGGCCGGGUAGUAGCUCUGAGAUCCUCUUGAUUCCACCAGAGAGAUGCUCUGUGAUGCGGUAGUUGCCUUGUAGACGUGGCAAGGCUGCUUUGAGUAGUACAGCCAGAAAGAGACUCUAUUCUCUAGGAGAAGCGUUCAGAGGCACGGUGGAUACAUCUGAAAUGAUCUUUUCUAUGAAGCUAAAGGUAGACAACUCUUUUAUUUCUGAUUUAGAUUUGAAGGGUGGCACAGCAUCUGCCUCUGUCUUCUGAAGCAAACAGCUGCCCCCAGUGGCUGGACAGUGGGAAACAGACAGAAGAGUUGGGUAAGAAGGGUGUGAAACAGGAAACGUUUGGUAGCUGGCAUGUGAGUUGCAGACAGGCUGGUUGGGAGAGAAUUGGGUCUCCCAGAAGGGAUCGUAGCAAGAACCCACUGCAAGGGAGUAUGGCAUGCCCCUGAAACGCAGUGAAUAGAAACAGCCACACUGGGCAGAAGAGGAGGAGGAGGGAUGGUGAUGACUUUCACCAGACUCUCUGCUGCUGUGCCCAGAUCCUUCUGAACAAGUGCAGGGCUCUGUAGAUCCUGGGUGGCAACAGGUGAAGAAGCCAGAAGUGUCUUAUGCUCCAUGCACAGCGAGGCUGCCAUCACCACCUGCUGCGGCAGUCCGUUUCAGUGAUACAGCAGGAAGGUGGACAGGACUGUGAGGAAGGCUGUGAAGCCAUAGAGCAACUUACAGCUGUCCAGGACAGGAGGAACUUAGACUUAUUAACUUGUUGGGGGGGACAGGUGAUGUUAUAGGGGCUGAUCUACACUCUGGCUGGCUAGGUUGUGGCAUCGAGCAAGUGCUCCUCAUUGCAUCCUCUGGGUGACUGCAGGAUGGCAGGAGUUGGCUCCCUCCAGGGUCACCCCUUCAGCUGCCAGAGCACCUCCAUUGUGUUGAUCCGAAGCAAGGCUCAAGGGUUGCCAACGGGAGCUGGGUGGUGGUAGCACUGGCUGUUACUGGAUAGGAAAAUGUUCAGGGGUCCCUGCCGACUGAUCCCUAUAGCUGGGGACUGACUUAGCGAGAUCAAAGCAAUAGGUGAAAAUAGGGCUUUUAAAAACUGGUUUUCACGGAAAUUGGGGUGUUUUU